rnacentral:misc_RNA from 1 species
GGAAGGGGCAAAUAUUCCAGAAACUGCUAGAAAUAUCUGGUGGUCUCUUCGCCAUUUCUCUAUUAUCUUCAUCUCUCUGUAAAAACUCCAAUCAAAUACUAACCCUUGAGUAGAACAAGAGUAAGAAAUAGGAAACUCCGGCGACGAAAGUAACAGAUCGCAACUGUAACGGAAAUGCCAUGGACGAUGUAGAUGCUGACAUGAUGGAGGCGGAGUCCACGGUGUCAGUGGAGCCACCGGUACCGCCACUGCCACCGUCACCGUCACCGUCACUAUUGCAUUCAAGUUCAGACCAGGAUGGCGCCAUUAGAGGGAUGCUCACUGUGGCUCGUCAGCUUAUCGAUCAAGGCAGGCCUUCUCAAGCUCUUCAAGCGGUGGUGACGGCCAUGAGAACCAGAGGUGGUGAGCAGGCCGUAAUUCAAGCCCUUAAUCGUGCCCAGGAGCUGUACAGAAAUAAAGUACAGGCAAGUGUGGCUGCAGAUGAGCUGGCUUCUUUGUUUGCUGAGUGUGCCAUUGCUGAGGCCAUCCCUACUAUAUCCCAACCUUCUGAACAUAAUACAGUGGAUAAACCAAUUGAAGUAGACGCUGAUGGAACUUCAAUACUAUCUGAAACUGGCAGGAAACAGAUAAUGUUUGAUGCAUUCUCUGACGGAAGCAGCUUUGUUUGCCUACAAUGUGGUGGUCUGGUUAGCACCCAUCGCAAAGAUGAACACUACUCAUUCUGGUGUUGCAAAAAUUGAGUUAGCUUUCAACUUGAAUGUAUUUUAGCCAGUGGGUUUCUCUAGUAUUUGCUCUUGGCUCCAGAUCAAUGCUCUAACUAGGCAUGUUGCUGUAAGCAUUACAUGGUAGCUGGAGUAAUGAUUGCACAGGUCGCACUGAAAGUUGUAUGGCUAUAGAUAUUGACAACAAAAAUGUAUUCAGUUUCUUGGAGUAUGUUGUGCACUCUGUACUAUUCAAGAUGUUUUGAAAUAAUUGAAGCAUAU